CAUAUAUUUGUGUAAAGUUCAAAAGGGGCCACACUGAUGUCUGGGGAAGAUUCAUCACAGCCACACAAGUACAAAUGAUUAAGAUCCGGUCCCGUGCCGAUGGUAGUGUUAAGUGACAAGUACUAUGCUGUCGUAUGUAUGCCAGUCCAAAAUUAACAUAAAUGAAUGAGGUGGAAGUCAAUAGUGAAUCAAAAUGGCCUGGUUACAAACUUUGUUCAAAAUAUCUUCAUUUGUGUUUGGCACAACAAAGAAAUUCAUACAGAUUUGAACUACUCAAGGUUCAGAAAGACGGCGCCGCCGGCGAAAGUUAAUGCAGAAUUGAUACAGCAGCCCGCUGUCAAAGAAGUGGUGCUUCAGAGAGACUGCAGAGUGAAAUGAAGAGUGGACUGUUUCAGCAAGGCAAAGCAUGAAGAGCG